GUCUAUCGUACCUUGUUGCUUCGGCGGGCCCGCCGUUUCGACGGCCGCCGGGGAGGCCUUGCGCCCCCGGGCCCGCGCCCGCCGAAGACCCCAACAUGAACGCUGUUCUGAAAGUAUGCAGUCUGAGUUGAUUAUCGUAAUCAGUUAAAACUUUCAACAACGGAUCUCUUGGUUCCGGCAUCGAUGAAGAACGCAGCGAAAUGCGAUAAGUAAUGUGAAUUGCAGAAUUCAGUGAAUCAUCGAGUCUUUGAACGCACAUUGCGCCCCCUGGUAUUCCGGGGGGCAUGCCUGUCCGAGCGUCAUUGCUGCCCUCAAGCACGGCUUGUGUGUUGGGCCCCCGUCCCCCUCUCCCGGGGGACGGGCCCGAAAGGCAGCGGCGGCACCGCGUCCGGUCCUCGAGCGUAUGGGGCUUUGUCACCUGCUCUGUAGGCCCGGCCGGCGCCAGCCGACACCCAACUUUAUUUUUCUAAGGUUGACCUCGGAUCAGGUAGGGAUACCCGCUGAACUUAAGCAUAUCAAUAAG
rnacentral:rRNA from 1 species